UACGGGGGGAGCAAGCGUUGUUCGGAUUUACUGGGCGUAAAGGGCGCGUAGGCGGCCACUGCAAGUCAGUUGUGAAAUCUCCGGGCUUAACCCGGAAAGGUCAACUGAUACUGCAGGGCUAGAGUGCAGAAGGGGCAACUGGAAUUCUCGGUGUAGCGGUGAAAUGCGUAGAUAUCGAGAGGAACACCUGCGGCGAAGGCGGGUUGCUGGGCUGACACUGACGCUGAGGCGCGAAAGCGUGGGGAGCAAACAGG
rnacentral:rRNA from 1 species